rnacentral:rRNA from 1 species
UACGUAGGGAGCAAGCGUUGUCCGGAAUCAUUGGGCGUAAAGCGCGCGUAGGCGGCCCUGUAAGUCCGUUGUGAAAGUCAAAGGCUCAACCUUUGAAAGCCGAUGGAUACUGCAGGGCUAGAGUCCGGAAGAGGCGAGUGGAAUUCCUGGUGUAGCGGUGGAAUGCGUAGAUAUCGGGAGGAACACCAGUGGCGAAGGCGGCUAUCUGGGCUGAAACUGACGCUGAGGCGCGAAGGCUAGGGGAGCAAACAGG